GCUUCUGUCACAGGAAGAAAUAUGAGAAACUUGAUAUUCAGAAGCUGUGUUCAUUGUCAAGAAUAGUCAUUUCAGCAAGCAAUCAGUAAAAACUUAUAGCCCAUGAGGACAAGAAUCUUCUACUAUGAAUUCUGGAGAAAGAAAAUGCUACACAGAGAGAGGAAGAAGAAGGACAACAAGAAGGGUCAGAGAAUGAAAGGAUCAGCCACCAACUGAGAGGUCUGUUCUGCCAUGCAAGCAAUCCAACUGAGCAAUGCUGCUGCCUUCCCAACAGGCCCCAGAGAUGGAAGCAGGAGGAGCAGAGAUGGAAGCCCCUAGAACUCUGAGCCACUUCUCAAACUGUCCUAAUGUUAAGUGGAUUACCUUGAUAGUUAUUAUAAUGUUGGAAAGCUGGCAACAGAGAAAAUGCAUGGAAGAAAGUGUGAUACGACAUUUCUUGAAAAUUAAAAAAACAAAAACACACAACCGUUCUCCAUUAGGGACUGGGAUUGAAGAUCUGUUUAUAUUGACUCAUAUGAGUAAUUGCACCACUAAUAAAUUUUAUUUCAUGAGAGAAUAGCUUUCAAAAUAAUGGCCCUGUGUGCUUUAAAAAAUUUUCAUUUACAGUUUAUUGCUCUGAAAUGUAACAUAAAAUCUGUUGUUUAUAUCAUCUCAUUAAAAUAUUUAUUGUUCAAAAUAAUGAAAUUCAUUUUGGCUAUCUUGUAUAUUGUCUACUUUGAUCAUCCCUAUUUUCUUCUCUCAUUUUUUAAAUGAACAAAUAGGCUUUCCUUAGUAUUUAGUGUGACCUUAGUUAAGAAAUCUCCUAGAAGCAAACCAUGAAAACACACAACGCUCUCUGCUUCCACAUAACAAAUCUCUGACCUUCAUUAUUGCAAUGAUGUUGUGUUUGUUCCUGGAAGUUGCUGGAAACUAGAGCUUGUAUCCAUUCUCUUCCUCAUUGUACGAAACCAAUGCCCUUUUCAGGAAGAAACACCCAUUGCUUAUCUAUUCCAUUGACUUCUAAGACAUGACUACAAAAUGGCUCGCAGAAGAGGGAAUAUCCAAAUGCCAAGUCACCCAUAAUGGUGUUAAUAACACUGCCUCUCUCAAGUAGUUGACAGGUAACCUUUUAAUCUUCUUUUUAAUCGGCAAAAUAGCUGUGGCUUUCAUCCUGCUAAUGAUAUAGAAGUGAC